UCAGGAAUGUUACUGGUCAAGGUGUAAGCAAUGGACUUCUUCAGGUUAUCGAAGAUUAGACGACCUGGGACAAGGAAAGAGAGGACUAACUCUAGCUUAU